GAUGAACGCUGGCGGCGUGCCUAAUACAUGCAAGUCGAGCGAACGGACGAGAAGCUUGCUUCUCUGCUGUUAGCGGCGGACGGGUGAGUAACACGUGGAUAACCUACCUAUAAGACUGGGAUAACUUCGGGAAACCGGAGCUAAUACCGGAUAAUAUUUUGAACCGCAUGGUUCAAAAGUGAAAGACGGUCUUGCUGUCACUUAUAGAUGGAUCCGCGCUGCAUUAGCUAGUUGGUAAGGUAACGGCUUACCAAGGCAACGAUGCAUAGCCGACCUGAGAGGGUGAUCGGCCACACUGGAACUGAGACACGGUCCAGACUCCUACGGGAGGCAGCAGUAGGGAAUCUUCCGCAAUGGGCGCAAGCCUGACGGAGCAACGCCGCGUGAGUGAUGAAGGUCUUCGGAUCGUAAAGCUCUGUUAUUAGGGAAGAACAUAUGUGUAAGUAACUGUGCACAUCUUGACGGUACCUAAUCAGAAAGCCACGGCUAACUACGUG
rnacentral:rRNA from 1 species